AAUAGAUACCCGGGUAGUCCACGCCGUAAACGAUGAGUGCUAAGUGUUGGGGGGUUUCCGCCCCUCAGUGCUGCAGCUAACGCAUUAAGCACUCCGCCUGGGGAGUACGGUCGCAAGACUGAAACUCAAAGGAAUUGACGGGGGCCCGCACAAGCGGUGGAGCAUGUGGUUUAAUUCGAAGCAACGCGAAGAACCUUACCAGGUCUUGACAUCCCGGUGACCACUAUGGAGACAUAGUUUCCCCUUCGGGGGCAACGGUGACAGGUGGUGCAUGGUUGUCGUCAGCUCGUGUCGUGAGAUGUUGGGUUAAGUCCCGCAACGAGCGCAACCCUUAUUCUUAGUUGCCAUCAUUCAGUUGGGCACUCUAAGGAGACUGCCGGUGAUAAACCGGAGGAAGGUGGGGAUGACGUCAAAUCAUCAUGCCCCUUAUGACCUGGGCUACACACGUGCUACAAUGGACAGUACAAACGGUUGCCAACCCGCGAGGGGGAGCUAAUCCGAUAAAACCGUUCUCAGUUCGGAUUGUAGGCUGCAACUCGCCUAC
rnacentral:rRNA from 1 species